UUUUAUGAAUACUUUUGGAGGAGUUUAUUUACGCAUAUUCAAUCUUGCGAACUAAUUCGAAAUUAUUUUUUGUGCAAUUCUUAAGAUGAUUAUUAUAAAAGUCACAAUUUAUAAUUAAGUGAUGGCCUUUUUUGUGCAUAAAAUUAUUUAUGUAUAUUAUUUAUUUAAUCUAUCAAGAAUAUAUUGACAAUACUUAAUUAUGUUUUUUACCUACCUUUAUUUCAAAGGUUGUCUUUAAAAAUUCUUUCGAUACAAUUGUAGGUUUAUUAUUUAUUUAUUUCCUGUGAAAAGAAAUGUAAUGAUUAGGACGUGCUACUGUUGGGUGGCCACCUGGAUAGAAAGAUGAGCUUUUUGUCUAAAGAAAAGGUAUAUUGUUUAUGUGUGACAAAGUGGGACAUAUACUAAUUAUGCUCCUUUGCACUACUUUUGGCAUGUUAUAUUGUGGGGCUGACUGAUGAUGGCUGUGGUUAGUCUGCUUCAUUCUAGAAAAGUUUCGUAUGUUCUUUUGAAUACCAAUUUCCAAUAAAUUAUAAUAAAUUGCAUAGUAUAGUUGCUAACGUCUAUGUCACUAGAUUAAAUCUCAACUGUUAGAAACAUUAUUCUUUGAAUAUAUAAAACGAUUUUCCCUGUAUAUUGGGUAGAACAACGCCUAUAGUUUAUUUGGAAAACUCUCUCGUACAAAGAUUAUGCUCUCCACACUCCACAACAUAUAAGAUUCAUGCCUUGUUUGGUUUUAAAUUUUAGGGAUUCUUUUCCGGUAGGAUAUUGUUAUUUCAGCAGUACUUUUAGUGAUGUUUAGUUACAUAAGUAGAUGAAACCAAUCAUCGUAAUUGGUUUAGUACUGGCCUUUAAACAUGCAAGUGGAGUGAAAAUUGCGUAAACAAAAGGUAUGAAAAAAAUAUCACGCUUCUAGAUCAACCUCAGAAGUUUUGUUUCCCAUUUGGUUAUCAAUCUAUUUCACCCCUUGGACAAAACAAAUUUGUAUCUACAAUUCAGACGUCGAAAAUGUCUGGGUCCCGAACUAUUAGUAAGGAUACCUGAUAAAUUUCCACAGUUUCAUUGGAGCUUUAAGUAACUAUUGAGUAGCGGAAAGCGUCUUCCCUAGUGUCAUUCUAUGUUAUUCUGCGUGAUAGCUAUAUCGUUUGAUUUGCAUUUGAAGUGUAGGUGCAACCGAAUUUCAAGGUGAGUUGUGUGGAAAAAAAUGUGGAGUGAAGAUCUCAUAUGAAGAUGCCUGAUUAGACUUGAAUAAUGAUAUCAAAGAUGGAUUAAGAAGGGCAACUGAAUUCUGAGCGUCCUUCUCCUUGUACAAGGGAGGAGAAAUACCUGUCCAAAAUGCGAAGCCUGGAGCUCAUUGUAGAUGGAUAAUAUUUUGGUGUUAAAACUCGUCGAAAAUUUCCCCUUGAUGGCUAUUUUUCUAUUUUUUUAACUAAACUGUACCGAUCUUUGAUUCUAGUCAAAUGCAUUCGUCCAA